GCAUAUCAAUAAGCGGAGGAAAAGAAACCAACCGGGAUUGCCUUAGUAACGGCGAGUGGAGCGGCAAAAGCUCAAAUUUGAAAUCUGGUACCUUCGGUGCCCGAGUUGUAAUUUGGAGAGGGCAACUUUGGGGCCGUUCCUUGUCUAUGUUCCUUGGAACAGGACGUCAUAGAGGGUGAGAAUCCCGUGUGGCGAGGAGUGCGGUUCUUUGUAAAGUGCCUUCGAAGAGUCGAGUUGUUUGGGAAUGCAGCUCUAAGUGGGUGGUAAAUUCCAUCUAAAGCUAAAUAUUGGCGAGAGACCGAUAGCGAACAAGUACAGUGAUGGAAAGAUGAAAAGAACUUUGAAAAGAGAGUGAAAAAGUACGUGAAAUUGUUGAAAGGGAAGGGCAUUUGAUCAGACAUGGUGUUUUGUGCCCUCUGCUCCUUGUGGGUAGGGGAAUCUCGCAUUUCACUGGGCCAGCAUCAGUUUUGGUGGCAGGAUAAAUCCAUAGGAAUGUAGCUUGCCUCGGUAAGUAUUAUAGCCUGUGGGAAUACUGCCAGCUGGGACUGAGGACUGCGACGUAAGUCAAGGAUGCUGGCAUAAUGGUUAUAUGCCGCCCGUCUUGAAACACGGACC
rnacentral:rRNA from 1 species